AGUGAACGCUGGCGGUAGGCCUAACACAUGCAAGUCGAACGGCAGCACAGUAAAAGCUUGCUCUUACGGGUGGCGAGUGGCGGACGGGUGAGGAAUACAGCGGAAUCUACUUUUUCGUGGGGGAUAACGUGGGGAAACUUACGCUAAUACCGCAUACGACCUACGGGUGAAAGCAGGGGAUCUUCGGACCUUGCGCGAUUGAAUGAGCCGAUGUCGGAUUAGCUAGUUGGCGGGGUAAAGGCCCACCAAGGCGACGAUCCGUAGCUGGUCUGAGAGGAUGAUCAGCCACACUGGAACUGAGACACGGUCCAGACUCCUACGGGAGGCAGCAGUGGGGAAUAUUGGACAAUGGGCGCAAGCCUGAUCCAGCCAUACCGCGUGGGUGAAGAAGGCCUUCGGGUUGUAAAGCCCUUUUGUUGGGAAAGAAAAGCAGCAGGUUAAUACCCCGCUGUUCUGACGGUACCCAAAGAAUAAGCACCGGCUAACUUCGUG
rnacentral:rRNA from 1 species